rnacentral:misc_RNA from 1 species
AAGUCGUAACAAGGUUUCCGUAGGUGAACCUGCGGAAGGAUCAUUAACACGUAUCCAACGUUAAACCCCCCGUGCACACAGCGACCUGCUCCCCUCAAUUUCGGUCUUUUGGCAAUCCCUGGUAAAUCAUCGCCGAACAGUUUUGAUUCAGGGACAUCCAAAGGGCCGGGGUAGGGUAUUAAAGUAGUAGUCAAUGCAAAAGCGACCUGGUUUCUUUGAAGCAGAAAGUGUGAUGGCGUGAGCCGGAGAACGGACCGAGUGGUAGUUCAAAGGUGCCUUCUGUCGCGCACUGUGGAAAGGAAGACGCUUUACGAAUCACUGUCCAACACGGUCAGUGACCGGUUCCUGGUCCUAGACCCCAUAUUCACCACCACAGUCACAGACGAGGUAGAUACCACCAAAUAAAUACUUGAACAACCAUGGAUAUCUUGGUUCUC